UAUAGGUUAUUAUGUUUUAAUUGUAUUAUAAGUAAAAUUAAUUUUAUUUUCCAAAUAAAAAUAAGGGCAGAAUUUUAAAUAUAUUAAAUAAAGCUGUUUUAGUUUGAAAUGUCUCUUGUACUUCUGAGGAAAGACUAAAUGAAUCAGUGACUGUAUUGUGAUUGUACCCUCUAAACUAUCAUGUUCAAUGACUAUUUUAGUUUAUAAUUCAAAGGGGAUAAAAUUGUUGCUGAGGUUUCUAACAUGCUGGAGCAUUGUUAAGUGUUGGGAAAGCUGUGUUUAGCUCUGCUAGAAAAAUUCCAGCUGCUUCUUUUCAGAAAAUCUAAUUUAGGGGUGAGGGUUUUUUGUCCUGAGCUGUUAAGAUUUUUAGAACAGUAGUGCAUUUGCUUUCUUUCUCAUCCUUCUCUUAAGCACUUGGAUAUAUGCCUGCCCUGAUGAAUCCAAGUUUCAUAUUGAGGAGAAAAAGUUUUGAGACAUUAAGCUGCCUCUCUCUCAAUUGAACAAAUUCAGAAAGCAUCAGUGACGGUAAACCUCCUAGAAAUGGUCUAGAAAAGCAGAUGGCUUGGCAGUGAUGACAUUUGCAACUCAGCUGAUGUUUUGUGAAUGAGAAUAAAGACAAAAUGGAGUGGGUAAUGAUCUGGGAGAAGGCCUCAAAGUUUGGGUGGAGAUACUUCUUUUCUCCAAAUUUCUCUGGGCAAUCUCACUUGCUCUCCUCAGGAACUCCUGCCUCACUACAAGAGCCUGAAACUGCACAGAGUCCUUGCAGAGGUUUCCUGAUUUUCAUGGAGAGUGACAGAAACAAAGUCUGUGUGUUUGUGUGUAGAAGUAAUUUGAAAUUUGAUUAAGAAUGUCAGCAUAGAGACCUUCUUAAUCAAACUUCCACUUACUUCCAGUUACAGAGGAUAUUGUCCAAUAUGAUUUACAGAGGAGCAAUAUGCAGCAAGCUGUGCUCGAUUUUACCACUCUGUUGGCCGGUACAGUGUCUCAUUUUUCUGGGACUUGCUCAUUUGUGGUUGCUUUGAUCAUUUGAACAUGAAACUUGAAGUGGGUCCCAACAAAUAUUUCAGAAUGUUAACCCUUAAGUGACUGAGUAACCUGAUUUCCAGACAAGCAUGGCUUUCUUCUGGCUUUCACAAGGAAAGGCGUAUUCAUCCUGGAAUCAGAUGAAUUCUUGUCUUCAGGACUUCACAGGAGCUUCUUACUUUUGGGGAAUGAAUACAGCACAAGUCUCCAAGUCCUGAUCUCUGCUGUCUCCCUGGGAGCAUGAACGGUGCAAAUGUAUGGAAGGGGCAUCAGUGCCUGAAUGGCUAAUUGGAUAGCCCAAGGCAGAAAAAAUGAAGAAAGCCCGUUAUGCUGAAGGCCAGAGACUAGUGAGACUUUUCACAGAUCUUGGGAUGUUCAGGAAAUGCAGGGAAGAGAAGAAACUAUGCAUUUUGCUGGCUCUGAAUCCCUCAAAUAACUUUUCUUGUUAUUAAAGGCCUGUCUUGCGGGCAGGAAGCAGCUUCUUUUCCUUCCAGUAGUUAUGCUAUCUAUUAGUCAUGGAGAGCUGACAGCUUGCUUUUCCCAACUAAAAAAGCACAGAAGAAGAAAUAGUCUGCCUACUAAGGAUGAAAUAAUAUUUAAAAAUGCUUUUCUAAACAAGGAACUGAAGAAAAGUUUAAUGUAACAUGGAUUUUUCCUGAUGAUGCAAUAUUUAUAGCUUUAAAUUUGAACAAUGCUUUAUAGAACAGGGACAGUUUUGCAGUCUUGAAACUUCUGUGACCUAAAUUAAAUGCAGAUUUGUGUUAAAUUUUGUUAAUUUAGUCACAUGUUUGGGAUCUGACACAUUUUAUCCCGGAGGUAGAAGUCCAUGACAGGAUGUGCAAUUCUGAGGAUCUGGGAUUAAAUUCCUCAGAACCCAUUGUGCUCACUAGGAUCUGUAAAGCUGGGCCAUGCAACCUGGCACUGGGGACUGUGGCUGUUGAUGCUGGACUGCAUGAAGUGGCUUUUAAUGUCUUGGUGCAUGACCUGACCCUGGGAUCAUGAUCUUGGGCUCCAGAUGUGCUGGUAAAUUUAAGGCUUUGCCAUGCUGCCCCACCUGGUGUGGGGAUCUGAUGGACUUCCUCUGCACCAGAAAGCUGAAAGCCUUGCCAUACAUAGGCACACUUCAGUUGCUUCCAGUAUUUUAUGCCUGAGUCCUUCACAGUUUAUCUACCUUGGUAUAAAUAAUGCAACUAGGCUGUUUUCUCACAUAACACAGUGAAAAGGUAGCUUACAACUUAUCUACCCACUGGCAUUUCCAGUAUUCCCCAACAAACAUGAUCAAAAGAGAAAAUCCUGAUGGUCCUAGUGCUGUCAGAUGGCCAAAACAUGACAAAAUAACUGAGCUUCUGGUACACAGUGCGCCGAAGGCAGAAGCCGUACAUGAUGAUUCUGCAGCGCCUUGCAUGUUAUGGAGCCUGACUUUUGUAGUAGUAGCUUUCUUCCCAGAAGCACAAGACAGGAUUUGAAGGCUACCUAAGAGUGUGGAGGGUAUGUUCAAUGGAUCCCCAAACUGUCCACUAGCCAAGGACUGCUGAGAAAGGAAGGGGCAUGGUAGGCUGCCACUGCUCCUGGAGUAUAUUGGUUAUAGGAGUAGUUGCCCCACAGUGGCACAAGGAAUCUGUUUCUGGGUGGAGGAAAAAAAAUGGUUCCUAUCUUCUGCCCUCCCGUUCCCCAAACAUCAGAGGCCCUCUGCACAGUGGAAUGAAUGCAGUUCCAUUUUUCAGGAUUGAGGAAGUAGGACAAAUAUAUUUGCCUUCCUGGUAAUGGCACUGAUCACUUCACCACUGGCACUUUUUGUAUUAUGUGGAGGAUAGCAGCCUUGUUUCAGGGCUGCUCUGGAAGAAACCCAUUUGUGACUUAAGUCUGUCUAAGUACAGGGCUUUAAUGUGGUCUAAAUAGUCCAGCCUUUCCCUCCCAGGGAGUAGCCAGGUUGCAGCAUGACUGCUUUGCCAUGUCAUCACUUGCACCAAGUCCCUUUCCUGUGGGGACAUAGAGGGACUUCAUGUACAUUGGCUCCUUCAUGUACAAUAUAAUGAUGCACAUUCCAGCUUUCUGUUUUCCCUUUAAUUUGUUGAUGUUUUCAAUAUACUGCUCUUGGCCAAAAAUAUCAGGGAUGACAUUUCCCAUGAUACCUAAAUUAAAUCCAGUUAAAAGCUAGGCUUUGACCUUUACUGAUGUCCAUUAUAAUACUGGAUGUCCAGUCAGCAAGAGGUGAUCUAAAUAAAAUACCAAGCUCUCUCACAUUACUUAUUUCUACCAGUGUUAUUACUUGCUCCGAAAAAUAACAAAAAUGAAAGCAGUAAUGAACUAGCCCUUAAUGUGGGUAACUAAAAAGAAUUAUUCUGUAGCUUCUGCAGAUUUUCAGGCCUUUUUUAGCAUGCAUUUAUUUCUGCACCAUAAAAUCAGUAGUUUCCUGUGUUCCAAGUGUGCGCCUACUUCCAUGCAGAAAAUAAGAGUGUUGCAUGGAUUUUUCAUGGACAAAGCAUGGCAUAGGCAGCAGCAGCCAUUAAAAACAUUGGGAAUUUUGCCUUAGAAAAAUGGAAUGAAAAUGAAGGAAAGACUUUGCUAUUUGAUUGUAGCUGGGCUACAGUUGAUCCUUGCUGCUUUCCUACCAUAAUCCCCCUUACAAAUGGGCAAAUUCCCUCAACCCCCUUGCAAUAAUUAAAAAUAUUUAUGUACUUGUCAGUUAUUUUAGCCACACUUAAGGAUUUUUUUUUCAGAACUAUUUGUAUAAUUUGGAUGUUAUACCUAAAUUUGUACCUCAAACUUUCAUUGGAUAUUGGACACCCUAUGUAAAGGUCAACAUUCUGACACUGAUACAUUAAGACUUCCAUGUUAAUGUUACGGGCUCUAACGUGAUCUUGGUUGCACAAAACCUUCAGAAGAAACAUAGUGGGGAGACUCUGUGCUGAGUCUAGUACAUGCAGCACAGAACUCUCCACUCAAGAAGAAGGGGACUAUUGUGGCUGUAAGUCACCUUUGUGUCCAACUGAUUCAGGGCUGCUCUGGAAGACACCCAUUUGUGACUUAAGUCUGUCUAAGUACAGGGCUUUAACAUGGUCUAAAACUUCAGAUUUUUUCAGUGUCAUCAGUGCCAUCUACCCAACAUGCUAUUCCAGGGCUUAUAAGGAUGGGUAUAUUCUGGCGACCUCUUGAGCAUGUAUUGACUAUAUGUUAUAGAAGCAGGACAUUGGCUGCUGUGGUUCCCUGGCUUUACCUGUGACAAGUUAGGAUGCUAGGUCUGUGUUGUGUCAGGGCUGAGGGUAGUCUUAUGUGGAGUUUCGAUUAUGGUUGUAUGGGAUGGUUUGGGUAGGCAUGAUCCUGUCUUGGGUAGGGGGCUGGAUUAGAUGAGCUCUGGAAGUCCCUUCCAGCCCUAUUUCUCUCUGACUCUAUGAAAGUAUUGAGGGAAUGCUUCCUUUGCCAGAAUUGGGGAUAUUGGGGUCUGUUGACACUAUUUUGGCCAGAGCGGAGACCAAAAUGGUAUAAACAGCUAAGAGACUUUUGUAGUUAUUGUUUUAUGUGAAAAGCAAUAAAGCUAAAAUGCAUAGAUAAAACCAUAUUAUAUAUAAAAGUAUAUAAAGCCAUGUUAUUUUUGUCCAUACAGUGAUCUCUUCCUACCUGUAGACUGCUCCUAGUUCCAGAGAAGUCACUGGCAAAACUCAAGUUGAACUCAAUGUGAACAGAUUCCAUCUCAUUCCAACUGUUCACUCCACGUACAUAGAAUUGUUUUACCUCUGAAAAUAUUUUCUGGUAGGGUAGCUUUAUUGUUAAUAGAUUUGUGUUUGGCAAUCAUUUUCAUACUUGGAUUUACUAAGUCAGUAAGAGCUCAAAGCCCCACAAGCAAUCCCAAGCUGUUUCCUGACCUUUGACAAAAUGUUCUCAUGGUUUUGUUGUUUAAAAAAAGAAGAAGUAGAGGCAGAGUUUCAGAAGACACAGACUAUUGUACUAACGACGGUGAUUAUUUUUGUUAUGGUCUAAUCCCAUUUUAUAUGGAACUGUUCCAUACUAUAGAAAUAAAUAUAUUAAUAACUUAGUCUAGCAACAAGAAACAGUCAUGCCCUUUCCAGUAAUGUACUGUGAGAAACCACUUUGAAAUAAAUAUAUGAAUAAAGAUGGGUGCUUUAAUAUGCUAUGGCUAAAUUGCCUAAAACUGUUCUUUCUGAGUAGAAAUAUCUAAAAUACCGCAGGUUUGGGUCUAUUCUGAGUAAAACUGACUACAAUGGAGCUAUGCCCAUUUAAUCAAUUUGGCUCCUCACAGUGUGCUAUUUCUCAGUUAUUAUUGGGCAUGUUCUGCUGUGGGCUACUGGAGGAAAUCCCUUCUGACUUCAUUGUGAGUUGUACCUAUGUAACUGAAAGUAGGUUUUGAAUCUAGACAGAUACUUUUAAAAUAAGUCUCAAUACUAAAUAUUUCUUCAGCAGCAUUGAAUUACACAUGCCAAUUUCAGGAAUUGCUACUCACUAAACCCCAAACAGCUAGGUGCACACAACUCUGUAAGCAAAGUGAAAAAAUAAUCAAUGCUUUGAAACACACACAUCUGUGGUAAUAUUCUGUUACCCCAAGAGGUGUGAGCUACCUGACCAGAAAGGAUCCCAGGUAUGAAAAUUAUUUUUGAGUCAGACAGAGCCCUUUGACUUAUCCCACAAAGGCACUAGUGUGAGAGCAACUGCAGGUUGUUUUGGGGGCGACUGAGACUUGCCUGCAUGAGGGUUCUUGUAGUUUUCUUAGGAACUGAAAUACCAUCAUCUUCUCUAUGACUUUUCUUUAAAUGUGGAUGUGAGUAACCAAAUGCUGACCCUGAGUCAUUAUAAAAUAGUGUAUUAUGCAAA